ensembl:miRNA Gm22582 predicted gene, 22582
CAUUGGCAUCUGGCACGGUGGUUCCUGCAUGUGUGUUCCUGCUGGCAGGGCCUGGACCCACAACACGGUCUCUGCAAUCACAGUGAAGUCUUCC